AAACAAUAGCAUUUUUCAAUGCGUAUCGGUUUCGGCCCGAUAAGAGCGAUCACACGCAUUGUUUU
rnacentral:tRNA from 1 species